CCGGUCGCCAGUGCGCCCGCAAGCCCGCAAGUUCGCGUGACACAACACGCUCCCGUAAAACGACGCACGAGGCUCAAAUGAGCCUGACGAGCGUCUUAAACCCGUGAAUCGUGGGAAAACUAGGGGGAAUAUUAUUCAUGUAUUGAAAAAACCAAAUUUACAGACUGGAUAAACAGCAUUAGUUGUAAAAGUUUAUUGUGUGUUUGUUGAACUUCUUUUUUGUGGUCAUCUUCUUUGAGGGUUUCAAGGACAAUUACUCUCUUCUUCAUCAAACGUGCAAUGAGGAAAAUUUCGUGACAUGAAGGUUGACGCAUGAUGCCCUAACGAAACAUCGGCUGGUGUGCGGGUGCCAGGACAAAAGAGACGACAGCAUCUUUCACAUCACCUCCAUCGAAUCAAUCAGCGAUAGAAUUGAAGUCACGAAUAUCGAAACGAGGGAGCGAGGGGCAGCU
rnacentral:lncRNA from 1 species